UCUAUGCUCGUCAUAUUCAUCAAUUUUUUUUUGCCUGUGUGUUUCCUCUAUUUGUAGAGUCAUGGGAGACUCUUUGGGUUCAUCGGGAUGCGGACCCAACCAUUUCAUUUUAUACUGUUGAGAGGGUGUGUGGUCUGAAACAGAUAUCGUGUUUAGGUUUUUCGGUAUUGUCUUCUUCAUGUCCAUCAUCAAUUUCCUAUCAUCCUUGAUGGGCGUCUUUUUUAUUUUUAGAAGCUUCUUUUGCUGUUUUUCACCCAUACUUUUUCUUUUCAAUUUUGGUUACAUUUCUUUUUCCUCAGCUUUUCGUGCUUCUCUGCAUCUUGAGUUGUUUGUGAUUUGUGUGUUUAGGUCAGUAGCUUGCGUUUUUUAGCAUGGAAACAAUUUCCAACUUUCAGGUCCUUGAGUUCUUUUUUGCACGAUUUCAUCUGUUGCUAUGCGUUUCCUUUGUUAGUCAUGUUCCUCAUAUUGUUAGUUUCAUUAUUUUCUUUACUAUUAUUUGUAUGUUGUAUUUUUUAAUUUUUGUUUCCCUAUUGGUAUCUGGGGAAAUUCGAUCAGCCAAACGUUCAAAGAGUCUGCAUUCAAGAUUUUGUUUAUUUGUUAUAUUUGUUGUAUUAUUUUAAUAUUCUACCUUCUUAUUCUUGAUGCGUUUUCUUAUUCAUUUUUUUUGAUAUUUUUCUUUUGUAGGAAACUUGGAUCGAAAGGUUCAAAGAAAAACUUAAUUCACGGAUAUCAGGCAUAUUAAAAAGGAGGUUAAUCAAAGAGCAGAUGAUCUUGCAAAGGGAGGAAUCCAGUUACAAAGUGAGGUCGUUAUAAUGGUUUAGUUAGUUUCCUUUGUUUUGCCUUCUACUUUUGGUGCUUGUCUUGAUUUGUUUUGAUGGUGGCGUGGAUAAGUACGUGGUGUUUGUUCUUGCUAGGGAAUACGCAGUUUGUAUUGAUGUUUAAUCUUGCAUUGAGUAAGAAUUUUGUUGAUGCUUUGGUGUACAGCUCUAUACAUGUUCUUUUUUUUUUUUUUAAAUCCCUAGGAUUCUGGUUUUUGCAGGGGUUUUUGUUUUUGGAUCCAUGGUUUCUUUGUUGGGAGCUGGCUUUGUCUUUUGGGGAUGUUGGGGGUGAUAUAUUUUGUUUUAUAAAGUGGAUGGAUAGACCAUCAUUAUGGUGGUUGGGUCUGGAUGGGAAGGUUCUCCUUGAUGAAAAAAAUCAUUUCAUUCUUUCCUUUUAAAUGAAAACAGGUUAAUAAUUUUCAAAAAAAAGUAACAGGUGAUUCAGGUCAACUUAAGUUUGACAUCAUAUUGUGCCUAGAGGCCGAGUAAAAUUUUUAAAUAUAAUUUUUUCCCUUUUUUAGAUAUUUGUGUUUCAUGCUUUGUUUUAUUGUUAUGUUAUAUUUGCUCUAUUUGUAAAACAUUAUUAUGCAUUUGUUCAAAUUUAUUGGGAAACAUAAUUUUAUUUUUGUUAAAUCUAUAUCUUUGCAUUACCUUUUCUAACUGUGAAUUCUUUUAUUUUUUGUAAUUCAAAUAGAUGCCAUUUUGGGGAAUGUUCCAACUGUAGCAUUAUCUAAUGUUAUAUCACAUUUCUCAAAAUUUUGGGUUUGACGUUUUUUGAGUUCUAUUGCAUAUUAGAUUGUGUGAAGGUGGAGAGUUAUUAGGCAAAAUUUUGGCAACAUAAGUUGUUUUUUUGUAAUGUUUAUGUUUCUAGCUUUACUUUAUUUGCGAAUAUUUGAAUAUUAUCAUCAUUAUCUUUAUAGAAAUAAAUUAAAAUGAGAAUUUGACUUUUCCAGAAGAGAAAAGUACAUCGAGGAGGAUGCACAAACUAUAGUUGUACAAAUUUUUAAGUGUGGUUUCAUUUUGUCAUCUUCGGGGUGUUUUGCACCAUGAUUUAAACCCAAAGUUUUUUUGCUUUUGACUUUCAUUCAAAUAAAUUGUGAAACUGAAAAAUGUGCAUUUGGGUAUAUUAUCACAUCUUUGAUACUAAUCGUUAUUGCUUGCUCUUCUGAACUUCCUUUUCACUUCUGGAGGUGAAGAUGCUAACAUGAAGCUAAUUGAUUUCGAUCUUUCUGACUUUAUUAUACCACAUAACAAAUGAUCAUCACCCAUCAACUUUUGCUUUGGUUCACCAAUGAACAUGCCUCCCUUCAUAGGUUUUUUGAAACUAUCAAAUAAAAAACCUUAGUUUCGUCAUGAUGUAAUCUAAAAUCUAUUUUUUGUUUGGUUCUUUGCUAGACAAGUAAUGGUCUUAGGUUUUUAUUUAAUAAUUGAGUAUAAAGAUGCCAAUUUGCAAGAAUAUUUUGGCACCUCUACUCUGUUUAUACAUGUGCAAGUAAUUGGUUAUAAUAUGCGAUGAUUCUCUAUCAUUUUAUAUCUUUAAAUUUUUUAUUGAGUUCAAUAAGUAUGUCUUACUUUAAUUGAAGCAGUUGCUAUUGAUUGAAAGAAUUACAUGUUAAGAGAAUAUGUAUUCUAUCUUUAUAUGUACUUAGGUCUACUCUAUAUAUCCAUUAGAGUUGAGCUAUAUCUUUAUUCCUUUUGAAGUUACUUUUUGAAGUUGGAUUAUCUGGUGCUAUUUUGACUGAUGUGUUUAUCAUUGAUUGAUGUUUGUUUUGUUUUGACAACAGUUUUACGUUUCUUCUCCAUCUCCGAUUACAAGAAUUGAACAUUACGAGUUAUAACGUAAUUUCUUAUAAUUUGUUCAAACUUUCUUGUUGAUUUUAUGUAUUUUGUUUUGCAUUUGUUGUGUUUACAUCAUGUAUUAAUUUUGUUUCCCUUUUAUGCUAUGGUUAUCUAUUUUUGUACUGGUUUUCAAUUAAAAGUAAGACUGAUCUUAUAUAAUAACAAUAUUUAUCAUUUAAAGACGAAUCGUAUGAUAUUAUAUUAUUUGUGUCUGGUUUCCCAUUCGUUCAUCAUUUGGUUUUAUUUUUUAUUUCUUUCUUUUAUUAUGGAAUCCUACACAAGAAACAAAUUACAUAUCUGGUGUCUACUGUGAUUUUAUGUUUAAAAAGUUGCAAAGUUAAUAUUCUGGAAAGAUUUCUUUUUUAUUGAGGUUCAAUAAGCCUGUCAUGCUUUGAUUGAACUGAUUACUAUUGAUUCAGA
rnacentral:lncRNA from 1 species